rnacentral:rRNA from 1 species
GACGAACGCUGGCGGCGUGCUUAACACAUGCAAGUCGAACGGAAAGGCCCUGCUUUUGUGGGGUGCUCGAGUGGCGAACGGGUGAGUAACACGUGAGUAACCUGCCCUUGACUUUGGGAUAACUUCAGGAAACUGGGGCUAAUACCGGAUAGGAGCUCCUGCUGCAUGGUGGGGGUUGGAACGUUUCGGCGGUUGGGGAUGGACUCGCGGCUUAUCAGCUUGUUGGUGGGGUAGUGGCUUACCAAGGCUUUGACGGGUAGCCGGCCUGGGAGGGUGACCGGCCACAUUGGGACUGAGAUACGGCCCAGACUCCUACGGGAGGCAGCAGUGGGGAAUAUUGCACAAUGGGCGGAAGCCUGAUGCAGCAACGCCGCGUGCGGGAUGACGGCCUUCUGGUUGUAAACCGCUUUCGCCUGUGACGAAGCGUGAGUGACGGUAAUGGGUAAAGAAGCACCGGCUAACUACGUG